AAAGAGGAAUAUGGUGAAGCAGUGGGUUAGUGUGAGAAACCAAUAACUGCAAAGAAGUGAGGAGUCUGGGUACCCAAAUCAUGAAUCGACCUUCAGUGAUACUGCUUGGAGUAAGCUCUUCUGGCCAUUGGAGCUGCACCACCCCAACAACCCUGAGUUAAUCCUAACCUAAUCACGGGACAACUUACAAUGACCAAUUAACCUACUAACCGAUACAUCUUUGGACGUGGGAGGAAACUGGAGGUCCCAGAGAAAACCCACACAUUCCACGGGAAAGAUGUAGAAACUCCUUAUAGAGGGCGCCGGGACAGAACUCUAAACUCUGAUGCUCCAAGCUGUAAUAGCAUCGCCCUAACUGCUACGCUAUCAUGACACAAUGGCACCAGCUAUCUUCCUUUAUCUUGGCCAAGCACCUUUUCUUCGUCUUAUAAUGGAACACAAGCUUGUGCAUUCUUCGACCAGAAAUGCGGUCCAACAGGACUUCUUCCCAUCAAAUGGUGCCAAUGAUGACCAGACAACAGAUGGAACCUGUCACAUAAAUGGAUUCAUCAUACUGUAGCCUUGUUACUUUGUGGAAAUUUCCUUCAAAAAGCAAGCAGAUUUCUGAAAUAAUAACCAUGUUUUCAUCAGCUGUGAUUGUAAUAAUAUCAGAAGCAAAAAAUACAUGAACCCUUGGAGAACAGAUCCGGUCUGUGGAAUUCCCAGUGUUUUAUUAAGCUA